AGCAGCCGCGGUAAUUCCAGCUCCAAUAGCGUAUAUUAAAGUUGUUGCAGUUAAAAAGCUCGUAGUUGAAUUUCGGGAUCAGACUGUCGGUCGUGCCUCGGUACGCACUGGCAUUAUUGGUUCUUACCUUCUGAAGAACCGCGAUGUCAUUAAUUUGGUGUCGUGGGGAAUCAGGACUGUUACUUUGAAAAAAUUAGAGUGUUUAAAGCAGGCGCACGCUUGAAUACAUUAGCAUGGAAUAAUGAAAUAGGACGUUUGAUUCUAUUUUGUUGGUUUCUAGGAUCGACGUAAUGAUUAAUAGGGAUAGUUGGGGGCAUUAGUAUUCAAUUGUCAGAGGUGAAAUUCUUGGAUUUAUUGAAGACUAACUACUGCGAAAGCAUUUGCCAAGGAUGUUUUCAUUAAUCGAGAACGAAAGUUAGGGGAUCGAAGACGAUCAGAUACCGUCGUAGUCUUAACCAUAAACUAUGCCGACUAGGGAUCGGAUGAUGUUAAUUUUAUAAUGACUCAUUCGGCGCCUUACG
rnacentral:rRNA from 1 species